GAGUGAACGGCGAAGUCUGGUUCCUCCUCGUCCUCCUCCGACUCGUCCUUCUUGCAGCAGUAGUACUGCGGGCAGAGGGACGGUGACCAUGCGGCCGCCCGCUCCCACCCCAGAACCGACAUGUGGGAAAGGCUACCCCUGACUGGGGAGGGGAGAUAGGCACGGUGGGAGUGGGGUGGCCCAAGCCCAGGCCUGACACCUCAGCUGUUUAACCAGUGCUAUGGGUCUCACUCAGGCCAGGCGCAGUGCUGAGCACUUCACAACGAUCCACUCAUCUCUUCCGCCCAGCAACGUGCAGGUGUGACUGUUAUCUCCAUUUUGCAGGUGGGGAGACUGAGGCGUGGAGGGGUUCGCAGCCCCACAUCAGCAGAGCCGGGGGUCACAGGCACUGGCAGCUGUGUUGCCUCGCCCUGCCCCGAUGGCUCCCCCUCAUCUCUCAGGGAGACAUGGAGACUCUGGAUGGCCCUGGAGUGCAGGGGCCUGGUGUCUGCUGUCCCCCUCAUCUUGACGUCACAAUCAGCUAAUGACUGCAGCUGCUCUCGGCCAGUUCUUCCAUUGCCAGAUUCCGGGGGGUCUCCCAGCCCAUUGCUGCAGCAUCCUGUGCGUGACCUGGAUCUGUUACUUCACUAGGAGUUACAAAGUAGUGACUUUCCAAAUGUUAUCCUUCUUUCCACGUUUAUGAGCUCCAGUUCUUCUUGAAAAAGCUCUAAAGCACAUGCCUUUAUCAUCUGUGUGGUUACCCUAGCAUGCGGCCUGCAGAGGGAAGGCUCAGAGGUUCCAUUCCUCCCUUUAUCAGGGAUCAGAAUGAGCUGGUGCCCUGAGGUUUGUGGCUGUGUGUGUGCCGAGAGGACGGAGAACAGGCCAGCCCAGAUCCACACCUCUCAGUGAACCAAAAGUGACCCUGCCCCCUUUGCAGGCCCCGCGUGCCUACUGGUCCCAGCCUGUUGUCUGCCCCAGCUUGCCUUUCUACGUGGAAACUUGCCCAGUGCAAUCUCACUGAUUUUUGAAAAUAUAUUUGAUGCGUUUCAGUCC
rnacentral:lncRNA from 10 species